GGGGGGUUAGGUUUAAUUUAGUUUUUCUUCUUUGUAGGAGCUGGGAGUGCGGACAUACAUGUCAAGUACCUGGAAAUUAUCAAUGACUGCACGUGCCCAGCUCUUCUGGACCCUCUGAUGUUCUGUCACAUGGGAGCAAAUGGAGAGCUGGGACAUCCUUUGACCUCAGCCCUCAAAGGUUAGGAAGCGGGCCCCUCCUCCCUCCAAGAAUUCCUUUUCUCCAAGGGUGAUUAACUACCUCAGCCAUCCUUCCAGGAGGGCCAAAAAAGCUGUUUUGAAUCUGUACCGGCUCAGAAUAAUCAGUUCCUGGUAUUUCCGGCUUUGUGUGAAGCAGGAUUUCCUGUUUCAAGGCGGGCUGGCUCCCCUGUCCUGAUAUUAGGGAGUCUAUGUAAUAGAUUACUAAUCCAUACUGUUUUUGUUUUUCU
rnacentral:lncRNA from 1 species